GGAUGUAUGAGACAUGAGCUGGUCAGAGGGAUGAAAACCCCAGAACAUUGAGCUUUGAGUCCACGGUCUUCAUCACCAGACCCCUCGUCGAGGUGGGGGGGCUGUUGCCUUGUUAUUAAACUUCAGAUCCAAGAGAAUGAAGCCAGAUUAACUCUGCCCCCGUGCUUCCACGGCUGCAACUCGGAGGGCAUUACGCUGUGACGACUUUGUCGAUAGCUCUUGUGUUUGGAGGUUUAAUUAAAACCGUGCACCCUCCAAGAUAUCUUCCACCCCAAAAAAAAAGUUGCCAUCGAAUGACAUGCCAGAUAUUUGAUCACUCGGAGUGAUUUGUUUCCUCACACUUUUCUGUGGCUCUUGGUGUUCGAGAGGAGCAUGCAGCCAGACUCAGAUCUCAUCUUCCA
ensembl:lncRNA